CUAUAUACUCAAUGUCAUAGUCGAUUAUAUCAUUUUCGUAAAAGUAGGAAGCGUCAGUAUCGUUUCUGUUUGGGCAUCCGGACAUAUCCUCUUGGAAGUUAGAAGGUAGAUAAAGAUUAAUCACAGUGGUAGCUGAAGCGUUCGUAAAAUGUUUACCAAAUACUGCCUGUCGUGACCAUAGAGUGACAUUACGGUCCGGCAGCUGAAUGGCAACAUCUGUACUGGCCGCAAAUCGCUUAGGAAUAAAUAUGUUAUCUAACACUCCAAGAUCUAAGGCAAUUACCUCUAGAAGAAUGAUAUAACUAAUGGAUGCUAGAAUACAAACUAUUAUUUGAUAAUACGACAUAUUAAUAAUUUACAGAAGGCGUGAAGAGUGGAGGAAGAACGGAUACCGCAAGGUGAAGCCGCUUAGUUAUAUAGCACC